CCUACGUGGCUGCAGCAGUGGGGAAUAUUGGACAAUGGGCGAAAGCCUGAUCCAGCCAUGCCGCGUGUGUGAAGAAGGCCUUCGGGUUGUAAAGCACUUUCAGUGGGGAAGAAAGCCUUGGGGCUAAUACCCUCGAGGAAGGACAUCACCCACAGAAGAAGCACCGGCUAACUCCGUGCCAGCAGCCGCGGUAAUACGGAGGGUGCGAGCGUUAAUCGGAAUUACUGGGCGUAAAGCGCGCGUAGGCGGUCUGAUAAGCCGGUUGUGAAAGCCCCGGGCUCAACCUGGGAACGGCAUCCGGAACUGUCAGGCUAGAGUGCAGGAGAGGAAGGUAGAAUUCCCGGUGUAGCGGUGAAAUGCGUAGAGAUCGGGAGGAAUACCAGUGGCGAAGGCGGCCUUCUGGACUGACACUGACGCUGAGGUGCGAAAGCGUGGGUAGCAAACAGGAUUAGAUACCCCUGUAGUC
rnacentral:rRNA from 1 species